CCCCUCUCAGGGUCACAUCUGGAGAGUUUCCAGUACUCUACUAGUCAUGACUACAGGACGGAGAGUCAAGCAGAGGCCUACCCAUUCUAUUCCUAGCUGGGGCAGUGGCUAGCGAGUGGAAGGCAAUCUGCUACAAGU
rnacentral:snoRNA from 1 species